GGGAUACACCAGCAAGCAAAUCAGAAAAAGACCGCUGCUCCGAGGGAGAGGGUUAAAUUCUGCUCUGGAUACAGCGCAGUGCUGGGGGACCCAGAGGCGGAAGGACAGAUCGCUGUGCUCUGGGAAAGGCUUCGUAUGGGAAGAGACAUCUGCUGGGGUCUCGGAUGCUGACUGGGAGUCGCCAAGGCUCACAGGGGCGGGGUUGAGGAACAGAUUCACCAGGGUUUUUUGCAAAUAGAUCAGCUCCAGGAGGAGUCACUCAGGGAAAAGGGCACCUGUAGGGUGAGCUGGGGACACCAAGGGACUUCGAAUGCUGCACAGAGGAUUUUGGACUGUAAACGAGGCAUUUAUAGCCUCAUUUUCAGGGACCCCAGUAGUGAGCAACCAAGGAGAAGCCAUUCACAAAGAUGUCAAGGUGCCUACACACCACACCUCCCGAUUUAGGACCAGAAUUCAUUAGCACCUGCUUUGUUCUCUCUCUGGGCAUCUUCAAGAGCCUGGACAAUUCCCUGGGCCCCUCUUUCUCCUCCUCAAGGUCGUUCUCUGUAUACAGUGUUUCUAACAGUGAGCUCAGCCCCAGUGCUGGGGGCUCUGACACUGCAACAGGUGGGGAUGUGACCAGGUGUCCUCAAGUUUGGUCCUUGGCCCGGGCAUCAUCCUGUUGAAAGUCAAUGCAGACUGCACCUCAGAUUCCUGAAUUUGAAUCUCCAAGAGUGGGGCCUGGAGCCAGCCUUCUGGACACACCCAUCUCUGCAGCGGUUCUUCUGUAUGUAAAAUUGUGAGGGCCAC